GAUAGCAACGCCCGGCGAUUGGCUGUCUGCCCAAGCGGCAGCCGCUGAUUGGUCAGCGGGACGGGGGGGGCGGAUCCAGGCCGGGUUUUGGCGGAACUAAGGUCACAGCUCUUUACCCUGUGAUGGAUAGACUGAGCCACCCUCGUGUACCUACAUACAUUUGACCCACUUCACUGGAACAGAAUGCUUUCUCUAGAACACACAAUCCAGUAGGAGCCAUUAUCUCACGUGCUAUUAUUAAUGCAAAGACUUCAGACAGCUCCUGCACACAGCAGUGGAUCUGAGCAGUCUCAAGAGUAGCUGUAACUAAGAUCUUCAGAAGCAGGGAUAAAACAGCCAUGUCACACAAUUACAUUGAGUUUGGCAAUGGGAAGAAGAGAUUUUUUCUUGAUCCCACAUGAAAAUUAUCUUCCAUGCUGGGAAAUGAGCACUUGGAGUGACAUACUUUUUAUUGUAGCUAAUGGAACUCAGAUUUGUAAAGAAAGUGAUUCUGCUGUGUGGCCAUAUUAUCUAAAUUGCUUUGUUGCCAACGCAUAAAAAACUGAAUAUAAAAUUGCCUGAGUAUAAUUGAGUGCUGACUCACCCCCUGAUUAGGGUAAAUGGUGCAGUGUUCCAGGGUGCCUUGGAGCUUUCUGUAGUCUCACAAUCAUAUAUGAAAUCUCCUGAUUGACUUUUUCCUCCUCCAAGAAACUUAUGUUUCAUGCUCCUAUUUGAGGCUAAAUGCGACAAAUCCAGCUGCUGUCACAAGACAUCUUCCCCCUCCUUGGUUAUCUUGAUCAAUUUUCUGCUGAAACUCAGCUUUCAUCCUGGCUGGCGCAGUUGCCUCCCUUGAGAUUAUUCCAGCUUCUGGCGCUCCAUAUUCAUAGCCACUCUCUGAGCUCCAACUCUAACUCUCUAGUUUCUAAGGCUAUAUAGCUGAGGAUGUUUUCUCACAAAAAGCUUUUCCAUAAAUUCUCACAAUUUCAUUUCAGUCUAAUCCAAGGCUGCAUACACACAUAACACUUGUCAAAACAGACUUUUAUUAAAAGUACCUGCAUACAUGAGCAAGAAAAUACAGACCCAAGUAUUCUAAAUGGAUUUUUUAAAAAUCUUGAAAAUAGCCUCAUACUCAUUUGGAGGUAUAACAGUGUGAUUAUGCUUAAAUCUAGAAGAAGUCUCAGGUUUUGAAAUUUAAGUAUAAGAAGGGCAAUUGUAAGAAGCAGUGCCAGAGACCCGAGGUGAACUGAGCCACGCAUACUGAGCAGAGAGCUUAGAUUUAGCUGACUGUGGCAGUAAGUUAAACCAUCACUCGUGCCUUGGGUGAUCUCUGUUUCAGCUCUCCCUCAGGUAGUGAAAAGAAAGAGAAGAAGAAGGGCUAUGACCUAAAUGAAUUAUAGCAAUUAUUAACCAGCAAUCCCACCUCUGGGGAUUUGCAAAAGAUGCCAGCCCUGAGCUGGAGGGUCUGGGAGUGAAACCAGUCACGGAAGAGGCAGAAAUUGGUUUUAUUUCCAGUUAUCUAUGAACAUCUCCUUUCUGGCUGGCUGAACUAUUGAGCAACUGAGCAGCUGUUGAAAACCAAGUAAAGAAGAGGCUGAAAUUUGUUUCCUUUAUAUGUGGGACUGGUUUAAUAUCAGAAAAUAAAGACUGACUUCAGCACAUGCAUUGGGCUUAGAUUCUCCUGAAGCACUUGUUGCUGCACAGUCCAACCUUGUUCCUUGCCAGUAAUUGUAACUUUUGUUGUCUGAUAAAUGCUUUGCCUCAAAGAGGAUAAAGCCCAUUUAUCUCCAGCUCCAGGGAGAUAGUAAUGCAAUUGUUCCUUCACCAGGAGAUCUGCUCCCUGAAAGUUCUCUUCUGAGUUGGAUGAUAUUUUCUCCUAAAGUUUCCUUGUGUAGAAUUAAAAGAAAUUUAGUUGAAAUGCAUUUCCAGAGACAAUCCCUUAAGAAUAAAACUAAUUGUAAAAAAACACUUUAAAUUGAUAAGGAGGAGUAAAUCUAAAAUUCUGAGCUGAUCUAAAGCUGGGUUGGAAUCCAGCCAGAGUUAAAGAUCUGGUCUCUUCUGGCUGAUCAGCACAAAGACUGUACCUUUGCAAAAUAAAUACACAUUUAAAAGAUGUAAUGGAAAACAAAAGGAAUCUCUAAAAGUGAAGAAAGCAACACAUUCUAAGAUUAAAAAAAAUGCUGUCAGAGCCCUUCAAAAAUAGGAGUGAAAUACAUAAAAGCAUCAUGACUUCCCCAGACAGGUUAGUGUUGGUUGUUAUUCCCAGCCCAGGCUGCAUUUGACAGCUCUCACUUCUAUUACCAGAAGUGUGUUUUGAAAGCCCAAUAUUCCUAUCCAGAUUGUUCUUUCUAAAUGUUUGACAGCAGCCUGCCCAAGUGACAACCAAAUGGGCACAAUUAAUUGUUAAUGUCCCCAAUUCAACUGAAUCAGGGAAGUGCCUAGAUGACAAGGAAGAACAUCACUGGGAAGACUCAAGAGAGGCACCAGGGGAUUGCCGAGGGGAGCGAUGGAUUCAAUGUCUGUAGCCACUCCAACAUUUAACCUCUUCAUCUAUGACUACUGGUGGGUUACUCAGCUGCCAUUUAUUGCUACCCUGCCAGGAGGAGUGUGGGCAGAGCAGGGAGCAGAGCACUCUUGGCCGGAAGUCCCAACUCGUUCUGCAGCAAAGAUAAGCCCUUGGAUGGAAGUUCUUCAAAGGGAUGAAGCCAGGCAGACUGUUACUAUGGGCAUCUUGGAGCAGGCAAUCAGUCCUCCCUUUAAUAAAUAGAGAUAGGAGAUGGUCAGGGAAGAGCAUGCUUCUUAAAUGUGUUGCAAAAUGAGGCUGGGACAUCUAUCAUCUCUGAUCUACAAAGUGAUGGAGGUUCCUGAAGAAGCGUCAACACCUGCACAAUCAAACAGGAGCAACUCUGCUCUGCAGGGUCCUGCCCUGCAGCUUGUGCUCUAAACUGUGACUAAUGAGUGUAAAGGCCUUGACAAAAAAAGCUUCUACAGAAUCCCUUUUCUAAGGCCUUUGAUUUUACUGGAAUAUGCACAGCAGUAAAAUUCAUAUAGCCAAUGGAAAGCCAUGUCCUGGCAUGACCCUGCCACAGAAAACAACAAAACAAAAGGGCAGUGAUUUGGGGUCAUGUUUGGGGAGGAUCCAUGAUUCAGCAUGUCUGUUUACUAAAUCUCCUCUAAUUUGUCACGUAAUGAAGGAGUGGGGCAAACACCUGCUGCUCUAGGCUCCUGCUUCAUUAUGAAAAGGUAUGACCCAGGCAGUGAUGAGCAUCUGAGGAAUAAAUGAGUUUCAAUUAGGACAGUAGGUCAGAAAGAGCAAGAUGAUUCAUAUCCAGGUUGUACUCCAACCCUCCACAAUAACACUCAGCAAUUCUGUUCAGCUUUGCUCCUUCAAAGCACCCGCAAACACCCCAUCCUUUCCAUAACACUGGCAGGUAACAGGCAGAGAGGCUUGGGUGCGUGCUGAGACCUGCUGAUUCCUGGAAUAAUUGAACUAAGCUGGGAAAAAAUGCCUUCCACAGCAACGGGAUGGAAUGAGACAGCUCUGUCCUAGUCACAGCAUACCACUGUGUGUUUAGAAGUCAGGGGACGUAAAGAUUCACAUCCCAAAAUUAAUAAAUAAGGUACCUAGAAUUAAUAGCCUCUUUCAGCCAUCUGCAUGAAGUUUUCCCAGGAGUAAGGAACAGGUCACGACAGAUGGGUUUUAGGAGUGUGUGGCUCCUAGCUUAGCACCCUGACAAUGCCUCUGCUCAGCUGUGCAAAUCGUAUUUUACUUGCUUGACUGUGAGUUGCUGGGCAAUGGGAUGUAAUUUUCCAUGCUUGCUGUUGGCACUGGGUUUUACCUUGACUUGCAUCUGAUAAUGCACACUCUGUCAACAUUGUUUUGCCUCUUGGAAAAUAAUAAUUAAGAAGCCUGGAUGAUAAGCAUUUAUUAGUACCCAAGAAUGCAUGGCCAGGUCCACUUUAACCUAGUCACCAUAGUUUACUACUCUGCCACAAAAUGUCUUUUCCAGGUUUACUUGAAGACUAGGAUGUAAGAAAACCUUUGGGGUGCCAGAUACUGAGUUGACUUUAAUCUGAAAACAAAUCCUUUAAAGUUUAGAUAAAGGAAUCUUUUAAUAAAACAAAGAAAUUGUGCCACUUAUAUCAAUUUCAGAUAUAAAUAAGUCUGCUAGAUAUAAACAGAAGUAAGGCAGAAAGGAGAGAGCCAUGCUCUGCAAUGUCAGUCGAAAGUGACUGUCUGAUGGAUGAUGAUAUGGCUGGCUGGGAAAAAAAGUCAGUCUGAAAGUCUUGCUGCAAGCCAUGUGGCAAAUCUUCCAAAGGAUAUUCCAGUGCAAUGGCACUGAAUUUGUACCUGCUUUAAAUCUCCUGCUAUCAAGAAAGGCUAUUAAGUCCCUUAACCAAGUGAAGAUUUUGAAAUCUCUACUAUGACUUUCAUCUUAGGGAUCCUCUCAUCGUUGUAAUCCUCUCCACUGCUAGUUGUCUGUUCCCUCUCCCCACCAGUCUGCCAGGAUCUUAUCCCAGGAUCCUUUAGAAUGGAAAAGAUCUGUAAGAUCAAGUUGAGCUGUAACCCAGUGCUGCCAAGCCCUCCACUAAACCAUGUCCCCAGGUGCCACACCUGCAAGUCUUUUAGAUACCUCUAGGGAUGGUGACUCCACCACUGCCCUGGGCAGCCUGUUCCAAUUCUUGGCAGCCCUUUAGGUGAAGAAAUUUUUCCUAAUAUCAUCACAGGAUCAUGGAAUGGUUGAUGUUGGAAGGGACCACUGGAGAUGUCUGAUCCAACCCUCUGCUAAUGCUGGCUUACCCAGAGCAGGUUGCACAAAGUAAAGAUGAUUUGUUAAAAUAUCUUUUCACAGUAAAGAAGCUCUUGGACAUUUAGUGCAUCACUAAGACACAGCACACACCUGACUCCAUCCAGGCUGUUCCAGCUCAGGAUUCUGUUCCCUUGUUCUGCAGGAGAGGCAGAACUUCACAGCACUGGAAUUUGUAGCACAUCCAUCCUCUUGCUCCAGAAUCAUCAUUACUUCAUGCUUGGAACUGAAGAGCCACAUUUUGUACUUCUGAACAGUCUCCUCCCAUGUGGUGCCUAAACAGCUGUAACUGAGUUCACAACCCUCCUGAGUUGAGAUGAACCACAAUGGCUUGAGACCAUGGAACUGGGAGUACCAGCACAUGGAUAACUCUGAUUGAGGAGCAGCUGGAUAUUUGGUGACCAGACACUUCUGGGUUUUAACAUGGGCCCAGUAAAAGCUAUUUUCAGCCUAAAUGACCUUUGAUACUGAAACUGGAGUUAACCUGGAUGGUGAGCAGAGGAGAUCAUCUGCUCUGAGAUAUAAACCAAGGGAGAAGGAGUAGAAUUUGACUAGAGAUCCUAUCAACAUGAAACACCCCGUGAAACCUGAGGAGCUCCUGAAAUGAUGGAUGACAACCAGAGCCAAAAGAACAUGUACAAAGCAUCUGCAGAAAGAGAUCCUUAAUCACUCUGUGAAGCCUGUUGAUUUGUUGCCAACUUCUUAACUUAAAGCUUGUGUUGUCAUAUAUCUAACUUUAAUGAACCAAUGGAAGAAAGGAAAUCUCUGCUAAAAAAUUCACUCCUGUCCCUUCAACUGCAGUGUGAGCAAUAACACAUUUCAUUGGAUGCUCUCAGCAAGUCCCUCAUUAAAACAGUAGCACCAGAUGAGAUCUAAUUUUCCUAAUAUUUGUUGACUACAGGGCAAGAAGGAAAAUAUUUGAGAAUUUCUGUAUUCCUGAAAAAUAAGUUAAAAAAACAACAACAAAACAGUGAAAGCUGCUCCCCAGAUUAUAUGCUAGACCUCUUUCAUUUACAAGCAUUUUACCACUGAAAUUGAAUUAUCAAUGUUAUUUAAUUUUUUUUAAAAUGCCCACAAGAUGGCUGUAAUUGUUAUGGCCAUGCUUAAUUUUUGGUAUCAAAUUCCCAUAUUUAAAAAAAUCUGUUCUUCCUUUUUGUUGUUCUUCAGCACAUGCUCUCAAUCUUCAGCUGUUUAUAGGAAAUUUAGUUGUUCAAAAUGGCCACUGCAAUGGGCUUGUAUAACAUCUAAGGCACAGAAAUCCACCACCAUUUUGAAGGAUAAAGUGGGAAUUCAUUUUUCAUUAUUCAAAGAAAUACUUUGUUUUCUGUUGUUGCAAGGAAUGAUCAAAGACUCAGAGCCCUUUGGAGUUUCCAAUAGUGUGGCAUUUAAUGCAAGCAGCUUGUGAUUACUGUUGGAGCACAAAACCAUUGUAAAUCUGAUGAAGGAGAGCCCAGAAGGCAGGAUUGAGCAUCUCCUGUGUCCUAGAUUCAGCAGAGGAGCUGAUAUGAAAAAGAAGCGGGAUCUGCUGGAAGGAAAGCUCAAACAAUGUAUCACAGGAAAUAAAAUUUCCCUGCUGUUGGCAUGGGCUCUAGUCCAGGAACAGCAGUGUGUCUGGGUAGAGGAUUUGCAAAGUGUUUGCUGGCUGUGGUUCUUCCUGCAGUUUUCCUGAAGAUCCACCCAAAGGGAAUAGGCUCAGGUGCAGAGGGAGACUUCCCCUGUUCAGCCAGCGAGCUGGGCACCAAUGCUUCCUCUGAACAGAAAUGCCUGAAUAUAAACAUCUACAUAUCUUUGGCAGCUCUUGACUGCAACAUAUGAAAAGGGGACUGCCUGUCUACAAGUUUUAAGCAGCAUGCAGAGACAUUUGUAGGAAUUCUCCACCAAGCAUGAGCCAGUACAGAAUCACUGAGGCAUUGCUGCAGACCCUUGGGCAUGGUGCAUGGUCCUGCCAGCAGCACAGAAAUCUGCCUUUAAUGGGAAUUAAUUCAUUUCCAUUGAGGAGUUUGCCCACCAGUUCAGCACUGCACCAAAAGGGUUAUCAGGGGCCAUCAGGUUUCAUAAGACUUAAGUGCAACUUCAUUGCACUUUAAGUCUUUGCACUUAUGUCAUUUCAUUGCACUUAUGUCUUUGAAAAAUGGUUCGUUCAUCUGGAGUAAGAACAGCUCAUUUGGGGCAGUGCCCUCAGCACAACACUGAGCUCUGUGGAUCAUCUGGAAGAGAAGAGAUGAGAGAGCACCUCUGCCAAAGGAAGUGUCGUAAUAAGAUUUGAUUCAGAGAAAUUCAGGACUGCUGCAGUUCACUGGUUUAAUACCAGUCAAGUAGAUGAUUUCAGUCAUUGCUCACUCUUCCAAAAAUACCAUGCCGAGCUGCUUAGAGGGCCCAGCUGCAGUCUGACCAGAGCAUCCCCCUACUCUACCUGUAUUUCUUCCUAAUUCAGUAGAACUGAGCACUCUUUCUGUGUAGGCACAAGUAGAUUCAUGCCAGCACGUGAGUCCCACGCGCUGUGGGUUUUUCAACCAGAGGUUGGGCAUGAUCUCUGCCCCUCCAGAUCAGCUACAGGCAUUGUCCCAGACCUACCUUGACUCAGCUGUCUAAUCAUGGUGGUUGUGGGGUCUGGUUUGCCUUCAAUCUUUUCCUGGCCCAUGCAAAUCCAGGCUACCUGGAUAUAUAAAUCAAGUUCAUUGGUCAUUCUAGCUGAACACCUUAUAAAGGUAUGUUAAUCAAGAAAGAAUAAUGAGAUUUCAAAUUCCCCUAAGUUACAAAUAAGGACAAAGUGCUCAAGCAAAAUAUCCCUCAUUUUAAAUAGGUUUUUCUUCUGCAUCCACAAAACAGGGUUAAGUCAACACUGAGACAAAUGGAUGAAAAAGUGAAGUACUCCUCAGGAAGAUGGACAUCUGUUUUACCCACUUGUCCUAUUCCCUUCAAAGACAUUCAUAUCAUCCUGUGAAACAAUCUUAAUAAGUCCCAAUAAGUCCCUGGAACUCAAGACAUUUGUUUGAGAUCCUCCGACUUCCUGAUUUUUCUGUCUUUCUUUGUCUACAGUGAAUCUUGCUGAAUAGGUUGAACCAAAAUGAUCUUGCAAACAUUCUGCAAAUAGAUCAAUGCCAUGUUCUGUAUCAAACACCCUACCUGAAGCCCAUUUCAUAAAUGGAUGUCUUUGCUAUGAAAUUACAAACCAGAACUUCAUGUGGCAUCAUACUCAUAUAGAUUUGAAAUAAUUUCACCCUCAGCAGAGUUUUCAGCAUUGCAAUAAGAGCAGUAUAAAUAGUCACGGUCUCUGAGCAUUGCAAAGAACAGGGAUUAAGGUCAGCAGCCAUGCUGCAGUCUUAGGCCUUUGAAGACUGUCUGGAGCAGACUACAGAAGGUGCAGGGGGCUCCCAUUCAACUGUAAUGAGGUUGUGGAUGCCCUGUAUUUCUUGAUAAUCACUCUGGAGGGAUUUGAACAAGAAACAGAUGUGUGGAAACCUGCAAGAUACUUUUGAAUAAUGGAAGCUCCCCUGCAGAGUGGACAAGGCUGGUUCAAGACCACAGCACCUGCUCCUGCAUGGAGCAAAGUUCCCUCCUUUCUCCGUGUUGUCCCAGUGGAGCACAGCUUCCCACCAGCUCACCUGUUCAAAGGAAACUCCACACCACAGGGGUUUGCUGGGUAAACAGCAAGUCACCCCUGAGAUAUCAGCACUGGAGAGAAAUAGAGGAAGAGCUGCAAUGGGUGCUCCUCCUCACCUCAUGUGACUCACCCCAAGAAGGUGUUGGGGUAUUUGGUAUUUUUAAAGGUGACAGAGAGAGCAGGUUAAAUUAGGUACAAAGAAGAAAUUCUUCCUAGUGAGGCUUGUGAUGUCCUGGCAUGGAUUGUCCAGAGAAGCUGUGGCUGUCUCAUCCCUGGAAAUAUCCCAGGCCAGCUUGGAUGGGGUUGGAGCAACCUGGUCUGGUGGAAGGUGUCGGUACCCAUGGCAGGGGGUUGGAACUGGAUGAGUGUUAAGGUCCCUCCCAGCCCAAGCCAUUUUAUGAGUCUGUUUGGAAGAGUGACAAACAUGUAAGAUGCUGAAAUACAUUCAGGUACCCCAGAGAGUCAUCUGAAUUGUGCUAGAGAUAUACAGCUCAGUCAGAGCUAAAGGAAACCACGAAGGCUGAGAGCAACCCUGUCAGGUCAGAUGGCUGGUCACUUUCUCAGGCUGAGUUGUGCUCACUCCAGAGCCAAAACUCCCAUGGCCAGGGGGAGGCUCUGAACAACAUACCUGGCAUCAGAUGGGCCAUGGGGUGGGUCACACUCUUUCCAAGAAGGGACUGUCACCUUCAUUUGUCUUAUCUGGAAAUUGCUCUGAAAAGAAGCAUUUUGUGAGCCUGAACAAAAACACUGGGGAGUGCUCAGCAGUGAAUUCUUUCACAUGCUGCCUUUGUAUUUUGUAUGAUUUCCAACAUUUCUGGCAAAAACAUUUCCUCUGACUGUUUUCCUUCUAGAAACAGACAGAGCUACUCUGACACUAUUUAGCUGGGUAGACACAGGGCUAUUUAAAACACAGAGCUGGAACAUUAGCAAAGCACUUGUCUCAUUCCAAGACAAGCAGGGAAGGGGAGGGUGCGCAUUGCCGAGUGCAUCCUUGUUCGUCCCUGGGAGGUUUGUGCCUGCAUCAUGACAAUUUGUGUUGAAUUUAAGGCUUCUGGGGAUGAAGUCUGUGGCAAAAUCUGACAAGAUUUUUUAGAAGCUACUAGUUCACCGUCUUGAGUAUUUAUGAUUUUUGUCUGCCAGGUCUCACAUAUAUUGCGGUCAGCAGUUUAAUUAUUUACCAGGUACCAUUCAAGCAGCAACCAUCAAAUCUGACAUUUUGAUAAUGUGAGGGUAAUUGGGUAAUUUUUUUUUUCUUCCCCUCCCACCAGCUCCAACCCCCUAUUCUGCUGGGAGAUGCAGAGUCAUAGCUCUGCUGGCUUGGCUUCCUGCCAUCUCACUGCUCCUUUAAAACCCCAUACCUCCCAUUGAAGGAACUCAGUGUCCUGUUCACCAGGAGGACGUCAAUGUUUCUAUGGAAACUCUUCCCAAAGAUUCUUGCUCCGCGCUGCUGCUGCUGCGUAUUGUAUGACUGGCUUUGUACACUUCAAUUCAUUAUCCAGGCUGUGACGAAAAGGGAGCAGCUUUCUGACCAACAGGAAAAAGCAUUAAAGGAAAAAAAAAACGACCCAAAACACUAAGCCCCCUGCUCCACCACCUUAAUAUUAAUCAAAUAAGCCACUAAAACCAUAGGUGCUUAAAUCGUUUGGCAUUUGAGUUAUGAAUGGAAUCUGCUCGCCUAUGCUCCUUGCAAUGAAAAAUACCCUUUCCUGAAUAAUUAAUUUAGCUGAAGAAGCUUAUAAAUUCUUUGUAAGGUCCUUUUUCCUUCCAAGAAGUGAGAAGAACAUUUUCCACCCCUCACAAUUGCAAUCCCGAUGAUGGAUGAGUGUCACAAAAUAUCUGGGACCAUCGGAGACCAUGAUGAUAACAUUUACAGACAUGUCCCUUACUAAUAAUGUCCAAAGGUGGCCUGAUUACUUACCCCUCUACAGAUGAGCUCCAGGUGGUGCUCUGAAGAAGCCUGGAACCUGAUUUUCUUGACUUCCCACUGGAUCAUUGAUGGGCUCUUGGCACCUCAAGCAAUCAGAUUUCAGGUGUCCCAAAGCAUGUAUCUCAAACCCAAGGUACUCAACUUGUGACACUUGCAGAAAGAUAACUCCUUAACUCAGCAGAACUUUGAGAUCUGAAGAAAAACAUUACACUCAUCUACUAUGCUGGGAACCAGCACUGAGUAAAAACCUGAGUAAAGAUGAGGAUGAGAGGAGACAGCAGCAAAAUGAACAUGGCUCAAAAGACUGACCUGUGAUCAAAGAUUAAGAGCAGCAAAAUUUGUAUAGCUUGGCUAAGCAGCAACCAUGAGGGACACACUGGCAGAGUGCAAAACCAGAGAAAAUGGAGUAUUAUUUGGAAGGACAACAAAAUCAGCGUAUGAAAACUAAAGAAAGAUCAGGCAGAAUGGUAAAGUCUCUGUUUUAAGGAAUGAAAGCCAGAACACUCCAAGCAUACAACGACAAGGAUGAACUCCACUCUGGUGUGAGGGUCUUUGGAUGCGACCAGUGACUUUAAGCACUUCUAUUCCUGAGUUUCCUAAGAAAAUCACCUUUAGAAAUGGGACCACUCAUACUAUAAAUCAUUUCUUCUUAAGCUCAACACCAGCAGACACCAAUCAGUUCUUAAAAUCUUGAGUGAAAAAUAAACCACAAGGAACAAUCCUGUGCUCUGAGGAAAUGGACAAGCUAAUCUAAUAAAUCUUUGUCAUCUGUGGUUUCCAUGACAGUUGCAUAAUCAGACAUUUAUGUAAGUAGAGGUUUCCUCCUUAAAUAGCAGCCUAUGAUCUCAUCUGCACCUACUGUAUAACCCAUUUGGAUGGAAACUAUGUGCCAGUCAUGUGUACAACUAAUUUCUUAAUGCUUCUCUCUUAUUUUUGUUUCUUUAUUGUGGAACAUCAGCCUGCAGAGUACUGCUCACACCUGACUAACUCUCCUUGUUGUGGUCUUCUCGUGGUCCAGAAACAACCACAGUUCCCCAGUCCAAUUAAUGGCUGGGCUCACACUUGUUCAGCAAUUCAAUGUGGAAAGUGAUGGUGUAUCAACAAGUCCCAGUGCAGCACAUAAGCCUUCUGAUGGUGUAUCCACAAACCCCAGUGCAGCCUCCUAGAAACACAGAAGAGUUUGGAUUGGAAGGGACCUUGAAGACCAUCUAGUUCCAAACCCAGUGGUAGGGACACCUUCCACCAGACCAGGUUCCUCAGAGCCACAUCCAACCUGGCUUGGAACAUUUCCAGGGAUGGGACAACCACAGCUCCUCUAGGCAACCUGUGCCAGGGUGCCAUCACCGUAACAGGGGAAAAUUUCUUUCUGAUAUCUAAACUAAACCUUCCCUGUGUCAGUUUGAAGUCAUUCCCCCUUGUCCUGCCACUCCAGGCCCUUGUCCAUAGUCCCUCUCCAGGUCUCUGGCACUGGAAGGGGUUCUAAGGUCUCCCCAGAGCCUUCUUUUUUCUACUCUGAACACCCCCAGCUCUCCCAACCUGGCUCCAGAGGAGAGGGGCUCCAGCCCUGAUCAUCUCUGUGGCCUCCUCUGGAUCUGCUCCAGCAGGUCCACAUCCUCCUUAUGGUGGGGACCCCAGGGAAAAGUAUUUUGGGUGAGUGAUUCAGCAGAGUCACCUUCCUUGACCUGCUGAUGAAGUUUCUUGUGAUGCACCCAAGAUGUGGUUGGCUUUUGGAGCUGCCACUGCACAUUUAGGGUCAUGUCCAGCAGCCCAAGUCCUCCUCACAGCUGCUCUCACAGCAGCUUUCUUCAAGCUGCUCAAACCUAGAGGUUAUGGGCUGCCCUCAGACCCUGUUGCAGAUUUUCCAGGCAGUGGGAAUUUCCAAGCCAUACCUUUCCCCAAGGGGCUGGGGUGAGGACCAUAGGAGAACUCCAGGCAUUUGUCUUGGACAAUCUGGGAUUUCUCAGGGUCGGAGGAAAGCUCCCAGGACCACUCUACUCCUGCUGCAGAGACUGUCUGGGGACUCCUCUGAACUCAUGCAGAGUAUCAUAAAGCAAUGCCAAAAAUACAGAUCUCUUCCUAUAUGCCAUAUUAACUGAAAUUAAGAAAAGCAGACCCAGUCCUUGAAAUCUCACUCCUACUCCCAUCUAAGUUGAUGUAACAAGAGUGAAAGCAAGCAAAAGUAACUGCACUUAAAUCUGCAUGCAGAAAUUCUCAAAAA